UAUGGCUCAGGAUGAACGCUAGCGGGAGGCCUAACACAUGCAAGCCGAGCGGUAGAGAUUCUUCGGGAUCUUGAGAGCGGCGUACGGGUGCGGAACACGUGUGCAACCUGCCUUUAUCAGGGGGAUAGCCUUUCGAAAGGAAGAUUAAUACCCCAUAAUAUAUUGAAUGGCAUCAUUUGAUAUUGAAAACUCCGGUGGAUAGAGAUGGGCACGCGCAAGAUUAGAUAGUUGGUAGGGUAACGGCCUACCAAGUCAAUGAUCUUUAGGGGGCCUGAGAGGGUGAUCCCCCACACUGGUACUGAGACACGGACCAGACUCCUACGGGAGGCAGCAGUGAGGAAUAUUGGACAAUGGGUGAGAGCCUGAUCCAGCCAUCCCGCGUGAAGGACGACGGCCCUAUGGGUUGUAAACUUCUUUUGUAUAGGGAUAAACCUUUCCACGUGUGGAAAGCUGAAGGUACUAUACGAAUAAGCACCGGCUAACUCCGUGCCAGCAGCCGCGGUAAUACGGAGGGUGCAAGCGUUAUCCGGAUUUAUUGGGUUUAAAGGGUCCGUAGGCGGAUCUGUAAGUCAGUGGUGAAAUCUCAUAGCUUAACUAUGAAACUGCCAUUGAUACUGCAGGUCUUGAGUAAAGUAGAAGUGGCUGGAAUAAGUAGUGUAGCGGUGAAAUGCAUAGAUAUUACUUAGAACACCAAUUGCGAAGGCAGGUCACUAUGUUUUAACUGACGCUGAUGGACGAAAGCGUGGGGAGCGAACAGGAUUAGAUACCCUGGUAGUCCACGCCGUAAACGAUGCUAACUCGUUUUUGGGUUUUCGGAUUCAGAGACUAAGCGAAAGUGAUAAGUUAGCCACCUGGGGGAGUACGUUCGCAAGAAUGAAACUCAAAGGAAUUGACGGGGGCCCGCACAAG
rnacentral:rRNA from 1 species